AACGAACGCUGGCGGCAUGCCUAACACAUGCAAGUCGAACGAGACCUUCGGGUCUAGUGGCGCACGGGUGCGUAACGCGUGGGAACCUGCCCUUAGAUUCGGAAUAACUCCCCGAAAGGGGUGCUAAUACCGGAUAAUGUCUUCGGACCAAAGCUUUAUCGCCUUUGGAUGGGCCCGCGUUGUAUUAGCUAGUUGGUAGGGUAAACGCCUACCAAGGCGACGAUCCAUAGCUGGUCUGAGAGGAUGAUCAGCCACACUGGGACUGAGACACGGCCCAGACUCCUACGAGAGGCAGCAGUGGGUAAUAUUGGAGAAUGGGCGAAAGCCUGAUCCAGCAAGGCCGCGUGAGUGAUGAAGGCCUUAGGGUUGUAAAGCUCUUUUACCCGGGAUGAGAAUGACAGUACCGGGAGAAUAAGCUCCGGCUAACUCCGUG
rnacentral:rRNA from 1 species